UUUUAUUUGAGAGUUUGAUCCUGGCUCAGGAUGAACGCUGGCGGCGUGCCUAACACAUGCAAGUUGAGCGAUUUACUUCGGUAAAGAGCGGCGGACGGGUGAGUAACGCGUGGGUAACCUACCCUGUACACACGGAUAACAUACCGAAAGGUAUGCUAAUACGGGAUAAUAUAUUUGAGAGGCAUCUCUUAAAUAUCAAAGGUGAGCCAGUACAGGAUGGACCCGCGUCUGAUUAGCUAGUUGGUAAGGUAACGGCUUACCAAGGCGACGAUCAGUAGCCGACCUGAGAGGGUGAUCGGCCACAUUGGAACUGAGACACGGUCCAAACUCCUACGGGAGGCAGCAGUGGGGAAUAUUGCACAAUGGGCGAAAGCCUGAUGCAGCAACGCCGCGUGAGUGAUGAAGGCCUUCGGGUCGUAAAACUCUGUCCUCAAGGAAGAUAAUGACGGUACUUGAGGAGGAAGCCCCGGCUAACUACGUGCCAGCAGCCGCGGUAAUACGUAGGGGGCUAGCGUUAUCCGGAUUUACUGGGCGUAA
rnacentral:rRNA from 1 species